UACAGAGGGUGCAAGCGUUAAUCGGAAUUACUGGGCGUAAAGCGUGCGUAGACGGUAGCGUAAGUCGGGUGUGAAAGCCCCGGGCUCAACCUGGGAAUUGCAUUCGAGACUGCUCUGCUAGGGUGCGGAAGAGGGAAGCGGAAUUCCCAGUGUAGAGGUGAAAUUCGUAGAUAUUGGGAAGAACACCGGUGGCGAAGGCGGCUCACUGGCUCGUAACUGACGCUCAGGCGCGACAGCGUGGGGAUCAAACAGG
rnacentral:rRNA from 1 species